rnacentral:rRNA from 1 species
GACGAACGCUGGCGGCGUGCUUAACACAUGCAAGUCGAACGGAAAGGCCUCUUUCGGGGGGUACUCGAGUGGCGAACGGGUGAGUAACACGUGAUUAACCUGCCCUUGACUUUGGGAUAACUUCAGGAAACUGGGGCUAAUACCGGCUAGGAGCUCCUGCUGCAUGGUGGGGGUUGGAAAGUUUCGGCGGUUGGGGAUGGACUCGCGGCUUAUCAGCUUGUUGGUGGGGUAGUGGCUUACCAAGGCUUUGACGGGUAGCCGGCCUGAGAGGGUGACCGGCCACAUUGGGACUGAGAUACGGCCCAGACUCCUACGGGAGGCAGCAGUGGGGAAUAUUGCACAAUGGGUGGAAGCCUGAUGCAGCAACGCCGUGUGCGGGAUGACGGCCUUCGGGUUGUAAACCGCUUUCGCUCAUGACGAAGCUUUGUGUGACGGUAGUGGGUAAAGAAGCACCGGCUAACUACGUG